GCAGAAUCAACCUGAAAAGUCAGGCUUGGGGACCACCCCCUUCUCCUGCUGUAAGCGCCUGGAUUCUGCACCCCAGGUGCCCUGAAGGGAUUUCUUCCCUGUGUGUCCCCGGGUCCUCUUCUGAUAAGGACACCAGUCAUUGGACUUAAGGCCUCUGCUAAUCCAGUCUGGCCUCAUCUCAAAUUGAAGAACAUCUGCACACACCCUAUUUCCAAGUAAGAUCCUAUUCACAGGCACCAGGGGUGCCUUCAAUGCAUCUUUUGGGGGGAACACAAUUCAACCCACAGCAUCUUCUGUGUUGUUCUGCCCAAGGACAGCCACCCCCCAGCAGCCGCGGUGAGAAGUUCCCCCAGGUUUGGGGUUUCCAAUCUUGGGUGGCGGCAGGCUGGGAGCCAGGGACCGCUUGAGCCUUACUGUGCUCUCCUGCUAGGAGGGGCGGCAGCUCCUUGCCCCUGGAGACAGCGCGGCUCCCCAGAGCAGCUGAGUGUCUUGCAGUCAUCAACAGCCACCUCAUCUCAGAGGCAGCACCUGGAAUCUUACCUGCCUCACCUCCUUUAGUCCUCAAAACACCUGUGUCCCAGGAUUAUGUCCCUUAUUCUACAGAGGAGGAAGCUGAAGUGCAAACUAAGAGGAAGUUCCGAAGCAGCAGGUUGGGGUGCCAGGUGCCAGCCUGGUGAGGAGCUCGGGGCUCUCGCGAGGACCGUGACGGGGCUUUCACCCCA
rnacentral:lncRNA from 10 species